rnacentral:rRNA from 2 species
AACUUUCAACAACGGAUCUCUUGGCUCUCGCAUCGAUGAAGAACGCAGCGAAAUGCGAUAAGUAAUGUGAAUUGCAGAAUUCAGUGAAUCAUCGAAUCUUUGAACGCACCUUGCACUCCUUGGUAUUCCGAGGAGUAUGCCUGUUUGAGUGUCA